GCCAGCCCGCUACAGAAACUUAAUGAAUUGACGGGGCCCGCACAAGCGGUGGAGCAUGUGGUUUAAUUCGAUGAUACGCGAGGAACCUUACCUGGGCUCAAAUGUAUGUUGACGUAUUCUGAAAGGGAUACUUCUUCGGACAAUAUACAAGGUGCUGCAUGGUUGUCGUCAGCUCGUGCCGUGAGGUGUCGGGUUAAGUCCCAUAACGAGCGCAACCCCUAUCAUUAGUUGCCAUCAGGUCAAGCUGGGGACUCUAAUGAAACUGCCUACGCAAGUAGUGAGGAAGGUGGGGAUGACGUCAAAUCAGCACGGCCCUUACGUCCAGGGCUACACACGUGCUACAAUGGCCGGUACAAAGGGCAGCUACCUGGUGACAGGAUGCUAAUCUCAAAAGCCGGUCUCAGUUCGGAUCGGAGUCUGCAACCCGACUCCGUGAAGUUGGAUUCGCUAGUAAUCGCGCAUCAGCCAUGGCGCGGUGAAUACGUUCCCGGGCCUU
rnacentral:rRNA from 1 species